rnacentral:rRNA from 1 species
AGUCGAACGGCAGCACAGCAGUAGCAAUACUGUGGGUGGCGAGUGGCGGACGGGUGAGUAAUGCAUCGGGACCUACCUAGACGUGGGGGAUAACGUAGGGAAACUUACGCUAAUACCGCAUACGUCCUACGGGAGAAAGCAGGGGACCUUCGGGCCUUGCGCGGUUAGACGGACCGAUGUUCGAUUAGCUAGUUGGUAGGGUAAUGGCCUACCAAGGCGACGAUCGAUAGCUGGUCUGAGAGGAUGAUCAGCCACACUGGAACUGAGACACGGUCCAGACUCCUACGGGAGGCAGCAGUGGGGAAUAUUGGACAAUGGGCGCAAGCCUGAUCCAGCAAUGCCGCGUGUGUGAAGAAGGCCUUCGGGUUGUAAAGCACUUUUAUCAGGAGCGAAACGCUGUCGGCUAAUACCCGGCGGAACUGACGGUACCUGAGGAAUAAGCACCGGCUAACUUCGUGCCAGCAGCCGCGGUAAUACGAAGGGUGCAAGCGUUAAUCGGAAUUACUGGGCGUAAAGCGUGCGUAGGCGGUUUGUUAAGUCUGUUGUGAAAUCCCCGGGCUCAACCUGGGAAUGGCAAUGGAUACUGGCAAGCUAGAGUGUGAUAGAGGAUGGUGGAAUUCCCGGUGUAGCGGUGA